AGAGUUUGAUCCUGGCUCAGACGAACGCUGGCGGCGUGCCUAAUACAUGCAAGUAGAACGCUGAAGGAGGAGCUUGCUUCUCCGGAUGAGUUGCGAACGGGUGAGUAACGCGUAGGUAACCUGCCUGGUAGCGGGGGAUAACUAUUGGAAACGAUAGCUAAUACCGCAUAAGAGUAGAUGUUGCAUGACAUUUGCUUAAAAGGUGCAAUUGCAUCACUACCAGAUGGACCUGCGUUGUAUUAGCUAGUUGGUGGGGUAACGGCUCACCAAGGCGACGAUACAUAGCCGACCUGAGAGGGUGAUCGGCCACACUGGGACUGAGACACGGCCCAGACUCCUACGGGAGGCAGCAGUAGGGAAUCUUCGGCAAUGGACGGAAGUCUGAC
rnacentral:rRNA from 1 species